rnacentral:rRNA from 1 species
AGCAGGGAAGAAGCGAAAGUGACGGUACCUGCAGAAGAAGCGCCGGCUAACUACGUGCCAGCAGCCGCGGUAAUACGUAGGGCGCAAGCGUUGUCCGGAAUUAUUGGGCGUAAAGAGCUCGUAGGCGGCUUGUCGCGUCGGUUGUGAAAGCCCGGGGCUUAACCCCGGGUCUGCAGUCGAUACGGGCAGGCUAGAGUUCGGUAGGGGAGAUCGGAAUUCCUGGUGUAGCGGUGAAAUGCGCAGAUAUCAGGAGGAACACCGGUGGCGAAGGCGGAUCUCUGGGCCGAUACUGACGCUGAGGAGCGAAAGCGUGGGGAGCGAACAGGAUUAGAUACCCUGGUAGUCCACGCCGUAAACGGUGGGCACUAGGUGUGGGCAACAUUCCACGUUGUCCGUGCCGCAGCUAACGCAUUAAGUGCCCCGCCUGGGGAGUACGGCCGCAAGGCUAAAACUCAAAGGAAUUGACGGGGGCCCGCACAAGCGGCGGAGCAUGUGGCUUAAUUCGACGCAACGCGAAGAACCUUACCAAGGCUUGACAUACACCGGAAACAUCCAGAGAUGGGUGCCCCCUUGUGGUCGGUGUACAGGUGGUGCAUGGCUGUCGUCAGCUCGUGUCGUGA